rnacentral:rRNA from 1 species
UACGUAGGGCGCGAGCGUUGUCCGGAAUCAUUGGGCGUAAAGCGCACGUAGGCGGCUCGUUAAGUCGGUUGUGAAAGCCCUCGGCUCAACCGAGGAAGUGCAAUCGAAACUGGCGAGCUUGAAUAUGGAAGAGGGUCGCGGAAUUCCCGGUGUAGAGGUGAAAUUUGUAGAUAUCGGGAGGAACACCAGUGGCGAAGGCGGCGACCUGGGCCAAUAUUGACGCUGAGGUGCGAAAGCGUGGGGAGCAAACAGG